rnacentral:rRNA from 1 species
AUGAACGCUGGCGGCGUGCCUAAUCCCUGCAAGUCGCGCGCACGGACGAGAAGCUUGCUUCUCUGAUGUUAGCGGCGGACGGGUGAGUAACACGUGGAUAACCUACCUAUAAGACUGGGAUAACUUCGGGAAACCGGAGCUAAUACCGGAUAAUAUUUUGAACCGCAUGGUUCAAAAGUGAAAGACGGUCUUGCUGUCACUUAUAGAUGGAUCCGCGCUGCAUUAGCUAGUUGGUAAGGUAACGGCUUACCAAGGCAACGAUGCAUAGCCGACCUGAGAGGGUGAUCGGCCACACUGGAACUGAGACACGGUCCAGACUCCUACGGGAGGCAGCAGUAGGGAAUCUUCCGCAAUGGGCGAAAGCCUGACGGAGCAACGCCGCGUGAGUGAUGAAGGUCUUCGGAUCGUAAAACUCUGUUAUUAGGGAAGAACAUAUGUGUAAGUAACUGUGCACAUCUUGACGGUACCUAAUCAGAAAGCCACGGCUAACUACGUG